rnacentral:rRNA from 5 species
GGGUUGUCAUGCCAAUGGCACUGCCCGGUAGCUAAAUGCGGAAGAGAUAAGUGCUGAAAGCAUCUAAGCACGAAACUUGCCCCGAGAUGAGUUCUCCCUGAGACUUUAAGUCUCCUGAAGGAACGUUGAAGACGACGACGUUGAUAGGCCGGGUGUGUAAGCGCAGCGAUGCGUUGAGCUAACCGGUACUAAUGAACCGUGAGGCUUAACCUUACAACGCCGAAG